AGUCGAGCGGUAGAGAGAAGCUUGCUUCUCUUGAGAGCGGCGGACGGGUGAGUAAUGCCUAGGAAUCUGCCUGGUAGUGGGGGAUAACGCUCGGAAACGGACGCUAAUACCGCAUACGUCCUACGGGAGAAAGCAGGGGACCUUCGGGCCUUGCGCUAUCAGAUGAGCCUAGGUCGGAUUAGCUAGUUGGUGAGGUAAUGGCUCACCAAGGCGACGAUCCGUAACUGGUCUGAGAGGAUGAUCAGUCACACUGGAACUGAGACACGGUCCAGACUCCUACGGGAGGCAGCAGUGGGGAAUAUUGGACAAUGGGCGAAAGCCUGAUCCAGCCAUGCCGCGUGUGUGAAGAAGGUCUUCGGAUUGUAAAGCACUUUAAGUUGGGAGGAAGGGCAUUAACCUAAUACGUUGGUGUCUUGACGUUACCGACAGAAUAAGCACCGGCUAACUCUGUGCCAGCAGCCGCGGUAAUACAGAGGGUGCAAGCGUUAAUCGGAAUUACUGGGCGUAAAGCGCGCGUAGGUGGUUUGUUAAGUUGGAUGUGAAAUCCCCGGGCUCAACCUGGGAACUGCAUUCAAAACUGACAAGCUAGAGUAUGGUAGAGGGUGGUGGAAUUUCCUGUGUAGCGGUGAAAUGCGUAGAUAUAGGAAGGAACACCAGUGGCGAAGGCGACCACCUGGACUGAUACUGACACUGAGGUGCGAAAGCGUGGGGAGCAAACAGGAUUAGAUACCCUGGUAGUCCACGCCGUAAACGAUGUCAACUAGCCGUUGGGAGCCUUGAGCUCUUAGUGGCGCAGCUAACGCAUUAAGUUGACCGCCUGGGGAGUACGGCCGCAAGGUUAAA
rnacentral:rRNA from 1 species